rnacentral:rRNA from 1 species
UACGGGGGGGGCAAGCGUUGUUCGGAAUUACUGGGCGUAAAGGGCGCGUAGGCGGUUGUAUCAGUCGGGCUUAUAAGUGCGGGGCUCAACCCCGUGAUGGGUUCGGGACGGUAUGACUGGGGCGCGGUCGAGGGAGACGGAAUGCCGGGUGUAGUGGUGAAAUGCGUAGAGAUCCGGCGGAACACCGGUGGUGAAGGCGGUCUCCUAGGCCGAGGGCCGACGCUGAGGCGCGAGAGCGUGGGGAGCGAACCGG